AUUCAUACCUUGUAGGGGAAAUACCAUGUUGUAAAAAUGUUUUUUCCAGGGAGAGGCUCAUCCAUUGCACUUUGGGUGUGCUGUUGACCCCUGUGAUUUCCCCAAAUGUGGGGAACUCAACUACAUAAUUGUUGUUAAUGGGGCAUUAUAUUUGUGAUUUCUCUCU
rnacentral:snRNA from 1 species